rnacentral:rRNA from 1 species
GACGAACGCUGGCGGCGUGCUUAACACAUGCAAGUCGAACGAUGAAGCCGGAGCUUGCUCUGGUGAAUUAGUGGCGAACGGGUGAGUAACACGUGAGUAACCUGCCCUUGACUCUGGGAUAACUGCUAGAAAUGGUAGCUAAUACCGGAUACGACCCUCGGAGGCAUCUCCAGGGGGUGGAAAGAAUUUCGGUCAAGGAUGGACUCGCGGCCUAUCAGCUAGUUGGUGAGGUAACGGCUCACCAAGGCGACGACGGGUAGCCGGCCUGAGAGGGUGACCGGCCACACGGGGACUGGGACACGGCCCAGACUCCUACGGGAGGCAGCAGUGGGGAAUAUUGCACAAUGGGCGCAAGCCUGAUGCAGCAACGCCGCGUGAGGGAUGACGGCCUUCGGGUUGUAAACCUCUUUCGUCCGGGACGAUAAUGACGGUACCGGAAGAAGAAGCCCCGGCUAACUUCGUGCCAGCCGCCGCAGUAA